AAUCCCCAACCAUAGUGCGCUUGGAGCUGUGAGGGAAUUCGAAGUGACCACCCGUUCUGAAAGUUUGAUUUUCUUCUGGCGGUUCGUGUGUGGAUCUCGUCAACAUAUCGUCGCAAACAGGUGAGUCUUGAUGUAGGUGACUUGGAGCCGAAGGGGAUUCAGAGUGGCCAUUGUGAACACUUUUGGGUUUGAAAAAGAGACUGGUUUUCUUAAGUUAUUUUUUAUUACUAUUUAAGUUUUGGGUUGUAAGAAGGCCAUUUUAACUUUAUUUUCUUCUUUGAUUUUCUGAGAUUAUAUUAUUUUAAACAA